rnacentral:rRNA from 1 species
CCUACGGGUGACAGCAGUGAGGAAUAUUGGUCAAUGGCCGCAGGGCUGAACCAGCCAAGUCGCGUGAGGGAUGACGGUCCUAUGGAUUGUAAACCUCUAUUGUCAGGGAGCAAAGGGCGCCACGUGUGGCGCUUUGCGAGUACCUGAAGAAAAAGCAUCGGCUAACUCCGCGCCAGCAGCCGCGGUAAUACGGAGGAUGCGAGCGUUAUCCGGAUUUAUUGGGGUUAAGGGGUGCGCAGGCUGAAUGUCAAGUCAGCGGUAAAAUUUCGGGGCUCAACCCCGUCGUGCCGUUGAAACUGGCGUUCUUGAGUGAGCGAGAAGUAUGCGGAAUGCGUGGUGUAGCGGUGAAAUGCAUAGAUAUCACGCAGAACUCCGAUUGCGAAGGCAGCAUACCGGCGCUCAACUGACGCUCAUGCACGAAAGCGUGGGUAUCGAACAGGAUUAGAUACCCCGGUAGUC